GUCAGAUGAUUUGAAGCACAAUGCUGAUCCUCGGUGAGGUGGGACAUACUAUGGCAUGUUAGAGUUCUGAUGGCA